UAAUACGAAGGGGGCUAGCGUUGCUCGGAAUCACUGGGCGUAAAGCGCACGUAGGCGGCUUUCUAAGUCAGGGGUGAAAUCCUGGAGCUCAACUCCAGAACUGCCUUUGAUACUGGAGAGCUUGAGUCCGGGAGAGGUGAGUGGAACUCCGAGUGUAGAGGUGAAAUUCGUAGAUAUUCGGAAGAACACCAGUGGCGAAGGCGGCUCACUGGCCCGGUACUGACGCUGAUGUGCGAAAGCG
rnacentral:rRNA from 1 species